rnacentral:lncRNA from 1 species
CUACAUGCCCAGAAACUGAUGACUGGAUAAAGAAGAUAUGGUAUAUAUACACAAUGGAAUACUACUCAGCCAUAAAAAAAGACAAAAUUGGCCCAUUCGCAGCAACGUGGAUGGACCUCGAGGGUAUUAUGUUAAGCAAAAUAAGCCAGUCAGAGAAAGACGAACUCUAUAUGACUCCACUCAUAGGUGGAAGUUAACAUAUUGACAAGGAGAUCUGAUUGGUGGUUACCAGGGAAAAGGGGGAGGGUGGGGGGAGGGCACAAAGGGGGAAGUGGUGUACCCACAACAUGACUAACAAUAAUGUACAACUGAAAUCUCACAAGGUUGUAAUCUAUCAUAACAUUAAUAAAAAAAAAAAGAUAACAAAAAAAAUAAAAGAGCUCAUUCUUUAGUCAAGAGCAAAACUACCAAGAUUUAUCCUGAUAGUAGAUACACUUUUGGAGUAACUGAUAAUUUUGGAAUGUUGUGGAAACAAUGUGGCUUCCUUACUUCCAGUGAAAAUAAAAUAAAAAAUGGCCCCUCUGUUCAGGAAUUAUUGGAUGCUAUACUUUUACCUGCUGCUUUACAUAUUAUUAAGAUCCUGGGGCAUUUCUAAACUUGACUCUUUAAAAGCUAAAGGAAAUCACCUUGCUGAUACUUCCACAAGGAACGCUACUCUUAAAGGAACCAACCACAGCCAAACCUAUGUCAUGGUCCAAAGGGCUAUUAUCCUAAAUGAUAACUUAGAAAAACUGGCUAGAGAAGCCCAACAAUUGGCCUCAGAAAACAAAAAACAAGAGUGGAAAUUCAACAAUUGUUGGUUUGAUAAAAAGAGAAAGCUCUGGUUUGGACCAAAUAACAACCCAGCCCUACCAGAGACUCUAAAAUUCCCACUCCUAACCACUGUACAUGCAUUUAACCGUUGGUCUACUGACAAAACGUUAGCACUCAUGAAUCAAUAUUGGUGGGGAAAUAUUAAUAAUGCCACAAAAGUGCCGAUCUCUCUCGUCCCACUUGUCCAAAAUACAAUCCAGGAAAACCUCGUUUGUACUGCUCCUGGACAUUUUAAGCUGCCUACUAGACCAUUUGAAGUCUGGCAAAUGGAUUUUACACAACUUCUCCUGUCUCAUGGAUAUAAAUAUGUUUUAGUCAUGGUCUGUAUGUUUUCUCACUGGACAGAAGCCUUCCCACGCAGACAGGCUACUG